AGUGAAUAGAUACCCAGGUAGUCCCAGCUGUAAACGAUGCGCGUUAGGUGUAUCGGUGACCACGAGCCACCGAGGUGCCGAAGGGAAACCGUGAAACGUGCCGCCUGGGAAGUACGGUCGCAAGGCUGAAACUUAAAGGAAUUGGCGGGGGAGCACCACAACAGGUGGAGCCUGCGGUUUAAUCGGACUCAACGCCGGGAAGCUCACCGGAUAAGACAGCUGAAUGAUAGCCGGGUUGAAGACUCUGCUUGACUAGCUGAGAGGAGGUGCAUGGCCGUCGUCAGUUCGUACUGUGAAGCAUCCUGUUAAGUCAGGCAACGAGCGAGACCCACGCCAACAGUUGCCAGCAUGUCCUCCGGGAUGGUGGGGACACUGUUGGGACCGCCUCUGCUAAAGGGGAGAAGGAAUGGGCAACGGUAGGUCAGCAUGCCCCGAAUUAUCCGGGCUACACGCGGGCUACAAUGGUCAGGACAAUGGGUAUCAACACCGAAAGGUGAAGGCAAUCUCCUAAACCUGUCC
rnacentral:rRNA from 1 species